UACAGCCACACCACGUUGAAACACCUGUUCCUGUACGAUCACCGAAGUUAAGCAAAGUCGAGUCUGGUCAGUAACAAUAUGGGUGACCGCUUGAGAAUACCAGCUGCUGUAA